CACGUAGUUAGCCGGUGCUUAUUCUGCGGGUACCGUCAUCGAACCAUGGUAUUAGCACGGCCCUUUUCGUUCCCGCCAAAAGUGCUUUACAACCCGAAGGCCUUCAUCACACACGCGGCAUUGCUGGAUCAGGCUUUCGCCCAUUGUCCAAAAUUCCCCACUGCUGCCUCCCGUAGGAGUCUGGGCCGUGUCUCAGUCCCAGUGUGGCUGGUCGUCCUCUCAGACCAGCUACAGAUCGUCGCCUUGGUAGGCCUUUACCCCACCAACUAGCUAAUCUGCCAUCGGCCGCUCCAAUAGCGCGAGGUCCGAAGAUCCCCCGCUUUCACCCUCAGGUCGUAUGCGGUAUUAAUCCGGCUUUCGCCGAGCUAUCCCCCACUACUGGGCACGUUCCGAUGUAUUACUCACCCGUUCGCCACUCGCCGCCAGGCCGAAGCCCGCGCUGCCGUUCGACUUGCAUGUGUAAAGCAUGCCGCCAGCGUUCAAUCUGAGCCAGGAUCAAACU
rnacentral:rRNA from 1 species